GCCGCCGUGGUGGAAUGGCAGACACGCUGGUCUUAGAAGCCAGUGCCUUUGGCGUGGGGGUUCGAGUCCCUCCGGCGGCACCA
rnacentral:tRNA from 1 species